AAGGAUUUAAGUUAAAGUAAACUCUUAGCCUUCAAAGCUAGAAAUAGGUUUUGCCUAAGCCUUA
rnacentral:tRNA from 1 species